rnacentral:tRNA from 1 species
GGCCGUGUAGUUCAAUCAGUCAGAACACGCGCUUGAUAAGCGCGAGACGCCGGGGCGGAACCGGACGCGGCCACCA